CGCGUGCACUCCUGUAUGGCUUCCAAUAAAGAAACUCUGCACUCUUGUAUUGCGGUGGUCGAAGCGUCGGCUGUAUAGAUGAACAGAAACAGCUUUGACGUCACGUUUAUCGGGUUUAAAAAGUUGGAAGUGUUAACUUUAUUAAAGAUGCUGACGAUGUUGAGGCCAACUCGACCAGUGACAGUUCUCAAGUGACAUUUGAGUCAUCCUGGCCCGUUUCAGUCGGUGUGCAAUCUUUUACACCUCGUCUGGUUAUGACAAUGGGAAAAUGUACUGCACCUUUUGUGCUAAAGCAGGACAAGAUAUAUAUAUGUACAACAGAGUUUAUAUACAUUUGACAUACUUGAUAUUUGUUAUUAUCAUUAUAUUGGCUCAUAAUGUGUGAGUGAGGGGGUCCUUCAGUGGAGGAACCGCGCUGUUAUCUCCAGAUUAAAUCUGUUCUGCUCAUCGUCUACUGGUAAAUAGAGGUUAGACAAUUCACCAUCGACUACUAAGUACUCAGGAUUCUGUUAAUUAAAACCUUUUAGAGUAGUAACCUCAUCUAAUAUUAUACUUCCAGGACCGGGUUACACUUGUACAUAACAUUUAUUGCAUAUUUAUUUCACUCAGGAUUAAUUGAUUGAUUGAUUUUACUUGUUGCCUAUUUUACCUCUGGGUUACAUUAGCUACUGUUAUGCUAUGCUAAUGUGCUUUUCACAAGCUAGUCAGAGUUAGUUAUGAAAUUACGAAAACGCAAGGUAAGAUGUCCAAACUGGGGUUUUUACAGGGGUGUCUGGUUCUUUGUUUUGUUUUUGUUUUGUUUUGUUUUUUUUAAUUUGUUUUUUGACUGCCUUGUUUACAGAGCUCGUUCUAUCUACGAGCGAGCGUUGGUCGUGGAUCACGGAAUGUCCACACUGUGGCUGAAAUACGCCGAGAUGGAGAACCGACAGGCCAAUCACAUCAGCUAAUACGCUAUCUAGUUAUUUUAAUUAGAAUUAGUAUAACUGUCGUUAUUGACGUACUAUGAAAUAAUAGUUUUACUGCAGUGUAGUUUAACUGUAGCGUGUAGUUACACUCGGGCCUGUUAGCUAUAAUUGCGUUAUAAUAAUCUUAGUAUUUUUCCAGAAAUGCUAUGCUGUUAGCUCUACCUACGCUACUAACUAUUAGCCUUGCUUAUUUGUUUUGUUUGCUUGUUUGUAUGUAUGUGCAUUUAUUUAUUAUCACGGCUUACAAAUGGCAUUCAUGGGCAUUAAUAUGUUUAACUAGAGUAAGAGGCAACAAAAAGAUGGAUUUGCUCUGUGUUCUAGUGGUGUAACAUAAUGCAGUUCCUGUAUCUCUAUCUGUACAAUGCUCAAAAUAUUCUUUUCUCCAUCUGCACUUGUUACGUUAUCCAAAGUAUUUCUGUUUGCUCUAUGUGCCAUUUGUGUGUCUGUCGGUGGUGGGAUGGGUUUCUUUUGUCUCCUCCCCCUUCUCUAGGCCCCGCCUACUUCAUGCGUACGUUCCGGCUUGCUACUGGAUGAUCACGUCUUGUCCACGCCUGCCCCGGCCUUGUGCGACAGGAUUGGUUGUAUAUAUGUACACAUUACUUUUGUUAAUGAACACACUAAUAGUCACCUGUGUAAAUAGUGCACGGUUAAGAGUGGUUUGUUUUCUUUUCUUGUAGUUUAGUUAGUUUUCUAUUGGAAAAGGUAGAGGGUAUUUUUGUUUAUUAUUUUGGCCUGGCUGGCUACUGAUGGUUGAAACCACUGUAUGUAUAAAAGAUGCUCCGUCUGGAGAAUACAAACAAAACAAACGCAAUCUUGGUCUCGCCAACACUUUUCUUUUUUUUAUUUAUUUUAUGGUAUGUUGCGGCCCGACCUAGACCGGGUCGUAACACACUUCGAUUUGGAAUAAGCUGUGUGAAGCUUUCUUUAAAAAGACUAAGAAUACUGCACCUACUAUCCUAUUAUUUGCAUCUAUAGUUGUAUUUAUUUAAAAUACAUCAGCUGUUCCGCCUGAAUAGCACAUUCAUAUUCAAGCACAUCCCCAGUGUGCAUGGUAUUAAUGAGCUAUUAAAUAGGUCACUCUAGUGCAAACUUAUGUCCUUGUCUUGUACCACAAUAGCAUUUUUUAUCACACAAUCUUUUUUUAAAACUUAUAUUUCAACUAUAUUCUCAGCUCUUCUUAUUUCAUACUUCUUGUGCUCGUCCACUCUUUUCCAAUCUCUGGCUGUAUUUAAAUUUUGUCAGUCUGACUCCAUGGGUACAUGUUUGUACUUGCUGAUAAGUGCCACUAUGUACACAAGAUCGUUUGCAGUGCACUGGAAGCAGAGGGUAUGGGCUCGCUCAUCCAGGCAGCAAUAAAAGAGAAGCCAGCCCUGCAGAUGUGAUCAUUGACUCUAGCUGCUGUGGUUAGAUGAGAGACAGAGAGUUAGAAGAGAGACAGAAGGCCAGAAGCGAUGCUGUGUGUUUCCAUUGUGAUCGUUGCUAUAAAAAUAAAAAAUGAAAUAAAAACUCUCCCAAGGUGGAAAAAUAAUCUGCCAAACAAAAUGAACCAAAGAGAUAGAGACUGAAUGCAGUCGAUACAAAAAAAUCAUUUGUAAAAUAGACAUUUGAUUGAAUGACAGUUUAUAGUUUUUAUGUGUAUUUUAGGAAAAUACCAGAUGUAAAUUACGUCCAAGUCACUUGAGAGCAUUACUGUAAAUGAAUGUAAACCUAUAGCUCUCUAGAUUAUUUGUUGUAAUAAUAAUUGUGUUUCACUUUUUUUUUUUAGACCGGAAUGUUAUGUUAGGAAGAUUUUUUGUUUAUUUUUUAAUAUCUUAUCUUUUUAUUUAUUCAUUUCAGGCAUACUGUUUUAGUCUUUUUUAUGCUGCCUGACAUGUAGAGAAGUAACUGUUACCAAUAAAGUUAAUUAUUUCU
ensembl:lncRNA